CCUACGGGAGGCAGCAGUGAGGAAUAUUGGUCAAUGGGCGCGAGCCUGAACCAGCCAAGUCGCGUGAGGGAAGACGGUCCUAUGGAUUGUAAACCUCUUUUGUCGGGGAGCAAAAGACGCCACGCGUGGCGUUCAGAGAGUACCCGAAGAAAAAGCAUCGGCUAACUCCGUGACAGCAGCCGCGGUAAUACGGAGGAUGCGAGCGUUAUCCGGAUUUAUUGGGUUGAAAGGGUGCGCAGGCGGAAGAUCAAGUCAGCGGUAAAAUUGAGAGGCUCAACCUCUUCGAGCCGUUGAAACUGGUUUUCUUGAGUGAGUGAGAAGUAUGCGGAAUGCGUGGUGUAGCGGUGAAAUGCAUAGAUAUCACGCAGAACUCCGAUUGCGAAGGCAGCAUACCGGCGCUCAACUGACGCUCAUGCACGAAAGUGUGGGUAUCGAACAGGAUUAGAUACCCGUGUAGUC
rnacentral:rRNA from 1 species